rnacentral:rRNA from 1 species
UACGUAGGGUGCGAGCGUUGUCCGGAAUUACUGGGCGUAAAGAGCUCGUAGGUGGUUUGUCGCGUUGUCCGUGAAAAACUCACAACUCAAUUGUGGGUGUGCGGGCGAUACGGGCAGACUGGAGUACUGCAGGGGAGACUGGAAUUCCUGGUGUAGCGGUGGAAUGCGCAGAUAUCAGGAGGAACACCGGUGGCGAAGGCGGGUCUCUGGGCAGUAACUGACGCUGAGGAGCGAAAGCGUGGGGAGCGAACAGG